AUGCUUUUGAAGUGGUCAACCCACUUGGGUCAUCAAGAAAAAAACAUAAGCUUGUUGGAGUAUACUUCACACUUGCUGACUUCUAGAAUGUUGUCAGACCUGAGACAGCUCGAAGAACACAGAAUUGUUACCACGUCUGGUCAUGUGGUUCGAGCAACACUAUUAUCUAUUGUAGGUGACAAUUUGGGGUCACACUGCAUUGGUGGUUACACACAGAAUUUCAGCACUUCCAAAUACGUCUGCAGGUACUGUGAGGUGCAAAGAGACCAACUUGAGACUGUAAGUCAGUGUUUUCCUGUACGAACAGUUGAUAUCUACAAAGAAGCAGUGCAGUUAUUGCAGCAGAGUAAUGUUGAUGAAGUUAAAGGAAUAUAUUGUGACUCAGUCUUUAACUUCCUGAAACAUUUCCAUGUAUGUCAGCCAGGCCUUCCUCCAUGCAUAGGGCAUGAUUUGUUUGAGGGAGUUGUAGCUUAUGACUUAGCUAUUUACCUGCGCUACUUCAUAAAGGUUAAGCACUGGUUCACAUACACUCAGCUAAACAGACGUAUCACACAAUUUGCCUACAAGGACUCUGAUUGCAACUCAUGUCCCACUCUGGUGAGUGAAAAAGCCAACACAAUACGUGGUCAAGCAGCUGAGAACUGGUGUCUCCUUAGACUUCUGCCUGUCAUUAUUGGGGACAAUGUUGAUCCUCAUGACCCAGUGUGGCAACUAGUGAUCGCUUUGAAAGAACUUGUUGAACUAGUGUGUGCUCCCUCAAUCACCACUGCCCAGAUUGCUUACCUCAACAUUGUUGUGUCUGAAUAUCUAGAAACAAGAGAGGCAGUGUUUCCUUCUGAUCGUUUAAAAUCCAAGCACCACUAUCUUCUCCAUUAUGCAUCAUUGAUCCUCAAACUUGGCCCCCUAAUACAACUAUGGACAAUAAGGUUUGAGAGUAAACACUCCUACUUCAAGAGGUGUGUAAGAAGAACUCAAAACUUUAAAAAUGUAUCCCAGUCACUCGCAAACCAGCACCAACUACUCCAAGCGACCCUCAACUCAAACUCCUUUUUUGCACCAGUGCUGAGGGCAAAAAACUCAACUCCAUAUCAUGCUCACCUGUAUAGUGAUGCAGUGUGCAAUGCAGUUCAAGCCCACAUGGUUACAGAACCAGAUUCUGUAUCCCAUGAGGUAAACUUUAAGGUAACCCUUUACAAAAAGGGAUCUUUUCUCUGCCUAAAACGGGAGUCUGAUGAGUCAAUCAAGUUUGGUCAGAUUGAGCUUGCUUUGAUCAAACAGGAGAAAGAGGUGUGCUUUUUGGUGACACCUUACACUUCAAUGUAUUUGGCAGAGUAUGGACUUUAUGAAGUCAAACAAGCAGAUGAGGAUAUGCACUGCAUAAAUGCAGAGCACUGCAUGGAUUUCUACCCAUUGCCUCUGUACAGUCUGAAGAGAUGUAACGUCAUAUCUCUUAGGCACAGUGUUGUUAAUUAG
rnacentral:lncRNA from 12 species